GGAGAGGUGGGUGAGCGGCUUAAACCACAGUCCUGCUAAGACUGCGUACUCAAAAGGUACCGAGGGUUCAAAUCCCUCCCUCUCCGCCA
rnacentral:tRNA from 1 species